AAAUAAAUAGACGAAAGGACUGACUGUAUAAUAAUGAUUUACUAAUUCAACUUAUUUGAAAUAAAUAUUUCAAACUCUAAGUUAUAGGAUUAGUCUGAUCAUUUUUAUAAGUCGGUUUGUGACACCUAUUGCGUCAAAUGCUGUUGGUACAAUAGGGACUUUUAAAUAUGAGACCAGAUUAAUCCUUCCAAAUUCUUUGGAAGGAUUUUUAU
rnacentral:sRNA from 14 species